GGAAAGCACACCUCUUUCUACUGAGAUUAUAUCUGAAUAUCUAAAGAGAUUAUCUCUUUGAAAUUACUUAGGUGAACAAAACAAGACCCAACAGCUUCUUCAGCAGUUUGAGAAACAAGACCUGACCAUCAAUUUUUCUUUGUAUACAAGCAGUUGCAAUAACUAGGGUGGAAUGAAUUGGUUGAAGACUCUUCAAAAAUACCCAGUAAUCAAUGGAUGCCAGGACAAAAAUCACUCAAGAAAUAGCAUUAGAAGGAACAUAACUCAGUACCUAUCACAAACCCAC